rnacentral:rRNA from 1 species
GGGGAAUAUUGGACAAUGGACGCAAGUCUGAACCAGCCAUGCCGCGUGGAGGAUGAAGGUCCUCUGGAUUGUAAACUUCUUUUAUCUGGGAAGAAACCCAUAUUUUCUAGUGUGGUUGACGGUACCAGAUGAAUAAGCACCGGCUAACUCCGUGCCAGCAGCCGCGGUAAUACGUAGGGAGCAAGCGUUGUUCGGAUUUACUGGGCGUAAAGGGCGCGUAGGCGGCGCGGUAAGUCACUUGUGAAAUCUCGGAGCUUAACUCAGAACGGCCAAGUGAUACUGCAGUGCUAGAGUGUAGAAGGGGCAAUCGGAAUUCUUGGUGUAGCGGUGAAAUGCGUAGAUAUCAGGAGGAACACCGGUGGCGAAGGCGGUUCUCUGGGCAUGACCUGACGCUGAGGAGCGAAAGUGUGGGGAGCGAA